rnacentral:rRNA from 1 species
UACGAAGGGGGCUAGCGUUGUUCGGAAUUACUGGGCGUAAAGGGCGCGUAGGCGGUAGCACAAGUCAGUUGUGAAAUCUCCGGGCUUAACUCGGAAAGGUCAACUGAUACUGUGCGACUAGAGUGCAGAAGGGGCAACUGGAAUUCUCGGUGUAGCGGUGAAAUGCGUAGAUAUCGAGAGGAACACCUGCGGCGAAGGCGGGUUGCUGGGCUGACACUGACGCUGAGGCGCGAAAGCCAGGGGAGCGAACGGG